GGUGGAGUUUCAAGUUUCGAACAGAGAAGAAGUUUCCGUGGCCGUCGCACUGAAAUCUCCUCCUCGCCAGAGAUUGGGGUGGUUCUUACUGUGUCCGGAAUUCGUGGGCUCUUCGUCUGACUUGAAGAAUGAAGCCACGGACCCUCACGGUGAAUAUCACAGUUCUUAAAGGCGGCGUGGCCGGAGUUUGCUCCUUUUGAUGUUGUGUUCGGAGUUUCAUCCUUCUGGUGGGUUCGUGAUCUCGCUAGCUCAAGGAGGGAACCUGGAGAUCCUCGCGAGGAGUGUUACAAGUCUUAAGGAAGCGCGUCUGGAGGCGUUCAUUCUUUCUGGAGUGUUCGCAGUCUCGGUGGCUUACAGGAGUGAAGCUGCAGACCUUUGCUGUGAAAGCAACCUAAACCCAAAAAGCAACACCACCACCACAAAAACAAAAACAAAACAGAACAAACACACCCACCCCCACCCCCACAAAAAAACUCCAACACAACGGAAUAAAACCCCA
rnacentral:lncRNA from 10 species